rnacentral:rRNA from 1 species
CCUCCGUAAGGGAACCUGCG